GAUGAACGCUGGCGGCGUGCCUAAUACAUGCAAGUCGAGCGAAGAAGGUUGGUACUUGUACCUAUUGGAUGAGCAGCGAACGGGUGAGUAACGCGUGGGGAACCUGCCUUUGAGCGGGGGAUAACAUCUGGAAACGAAUGCUAAUACCGCAUAAAAACUUUAAACACAUGUUUUAAGAUUGAAAGACGCAAUUGCAUCACUUAAUGAUGAUCUCGCGUUGUAUUAGCCAGUUGGUGAGGUAAAGGCUUACCAAGGCGAUGAUACAUAGCCGGCCUGAGAGGGUGGUCCGCCACAUUGGGACUGGGACACGGCCCAAGCUCCUUCGGGAAGCAACAAGAAGGGAACUUCGGCAAUGGGGGGAAGUCUUGCCGGACAACGCCGCGGGGGGGGAUGAAGGUUUCGGGUCGUAAAGAUCUGUUUAUAAGGGAAGACGUUAGGUGGAGUUAAAUACGCAUCAAUUGACGGUAACUACCCAGAAAGGGACGGCUAACUACGUG
rnacentral:rRNA from 1 species